rfam:Cajanus cajan Scaffold000051_18, whole genome shotgun sequence.
GGUCAAUUGAUGACAUACUAACUGCAAGGAUAUGAUUGGAUCUUAUUCCAUGAUUCAUUGUAUUUAAGUCUCUGAUGAUC